rnacentral:rRNA from 1 species
AGAGUGAACGCUGGCGGCAGGCCUAAUACAUGCAAGUCGAACGGCAGCACGGCAGAGCUUGCUCUGUGGGUGGCGAGUGGCGGACGGGUGAGGAAUACAUGGGAAUCUGCCCAGUCGUGGGGGAUAACGUAUGGAAACGUACGCUAAUACCGCAUGCGCCCUUCGGGGGAAAGCCGGGGACCUUCGGGCCUGGCGCGAUUGGAUGAGCCCAUGUCGGAUUAGCUAGUUGGCGGGGUAACGGCCCACCAAGGCGACGAUCAGUAGCUGGUCUGAGAGGAUGAUCAGCCACACUGGGACUGAGACACGGCCCAGACUCCUACGGGAGCAGCAGUGGGGAAUAUUGGACAAUGGGCGCGAAGCCUGAUCCAGCCAUGCCGCGUGAGUGAUG